UAAAAUGAAAUCAGUUGAUGUUUCAUUUACAAUGAAAAUUUUGUUAUUUUUAACCAUUUUAU
rnacentral:tRNA from 1 species